GGUAAUUAUAUAUGUCCCUUCGCAAACAGUGGCAGAAGAAGAAUUGCAACUUUUUCCCAAGUGACAUUAGUUUCCUAUAAAUAGGGCCACUUUGGACAUAAUGCAAACAACGAAUUCAAGUAAUUGUCAUCCAUUUUCUUUCACUCAUUCUCAUAUACUAAGUCAACUUAUUCUUUUCUAAUGCAUGAGAAAAAAAUAGGUAACAUUAUUUUGUAACAUACUAUUGAAAGAUAUUCUUGGUGUGAUAGUGCAAAUCAUAUCAAGGUUUCCAAAGUACCCUGAAGGGGAUUCGCUGGUUAUCUCAUUUGCAUCCGAU
rnacentral:lncRNA from 1 species